rnacentral:rRNA from 1 species
AUUGAACGCUGGCGGCAGGCUUAACACAUGCAAGUCGAGCGGAGAUGAGGUGCUUGCACCUUAUCUUAGCGGCGGACGGGUGAGUAAUGCUUAGGAAUCUGCCUAUUAGUGGGGGACAACGUUCCGAAAGGAAUGCUAAUACCGCAUACGUCCUACGGGAGAAAGCAGGGGAUCUUCGGACCUUGCGCUAAUAGAUGAGCCUAAGUCGGAUUGGCUAGUUGGUGGGGUAAAGGCCUACCAAGGCGACGAUCUGUAGCGGGUCUGAGAGGAUGGUCCGCCACACUGGGACUGAGACACGGCCCAGACUCCUACGGGAGGCAGCAGUGGGGAAUAUUGGACAAUGGGGGGAACCCUGAUCCAGCCAUGCCGCGUGUGUGAAGAAGGCCUUAUGGUUGUAAAGCACUUUAAGCGAGGAGGAGGCUACUGAGAUUAAUACUCUUGGAUAGUGGACGUUACUCGCAGAAUAAGCACCGGCUAACUCUGUGCCAGCCGCCGCGGUAAUAC